AUGUGCUUGCUUUUGAGAAACCCAGUAGUCUUCAGAUUAGCACUAGGAAUAAUUACCGUGUUUAUUUUGUGUUUACCUGAAUUUUUCAAAAUCCAUGAAGCUAACACUGUAAUAGUGUCAUGCAUGGAUACCUGCUCAUCAAGUAACACCACUUUUCCACUUUGUACUUUUAACAAUUCUUACAAAACAUCAGUGCAACAAGGAAGAGAAAACCAGACUACUUUGCUGAAGGUCAUUGUAAAUAAUUUCAAUUCCCAAAAUAUUCCAUGUAUUCGCCAGUUGUCCUGGAGGGAAAAACAGUCCUACCCUAAACAGACAGAGUGUGAAUCCAAGAGGGAUGUGAAUGUUGAUCAUCAAGGAUCAGGGUCAACACCUACAAAAACAAAAGGCUCGCUUGAAGUGAAAACAGAAAAUGUUACUUAUUUUUAUAAAUAUUUUAAUUUCACAACGGUUUCCAAGAAAGAAGUGGAGCAUAAUACGAACUACUUGAUGGAAAUCCACAUCAACAAUUCUAUAGUCAGAGGACGAAAUGCAGCCGACGAACAGCUAAAUCAUUCUUGUCUCUUGGCAAUGAUGGAAGACCAAAAUGACUGUAUAAAUAUUUCACUGCAGCUGAAGUCUUCCAAGGAAUAUCCGAUGUGUAUGAUGAAGAUCACUUGGCUCACUAUGAUUCCAGUGGUUUUUUUAUUUGUUGUUUCUGUUGUCAUCUACAAAAUAGUCCAAGAAAAUAAAAAGAACUGUAAGUAAUGAAAAGUUAAUCUGCAUGAAUUUAAACUUCUAUAAACGUAAAAAUAUAUUAAUUUAUAGCAACAAAACUGUUAAUUAUUACUGUAGCUCAGACACUGAUAUUUUGAUUGUCAAAUGAUGAAAGCUUCUUAGAGACUGAUCAAAGUACUCAGAUGAUGACAGUAUCACCUCUUACCUCUUUGGUGGAUGCAAAAAUUGUGGAUGCAAAUCCAAGUUAAAUGUGGGGUUUUUGAUAGGUGAUUGGUGGCUUAGUGAUAUGAACUUCUGGUUUCACACUGAUUUCAGUAGAUGGAACAAUUACUGUUAAACUUUGUGGAAGGUUUUAAGCAGAAAUGCCAAUGAUCAGUAUAAGUGAAUUGAAAUAUCCUUUCCUUCCUGAAGAUGAUUUAUUUAGGUGACAGUCAGGAAAAAUUACAGGAUAGAUAUGAGGUGAUAUGCACUCAUCUAUCUGUCCUAAAAACUGGCUAUUCAAAUUCAUUGGUGGUGUAAUCCCAUGCAGGGCAACCAAGGUAUGCCUUCUUAAGCCCAGAGCUGAAUUAAGCCCAGAUAACAUUUAAUCUCUAUGCUAUUAUUUCAGCAAAGAAAACAUUUCUGUGAUUUCUGAACCAUCACUAUUGACUAUUCCAAGUGAUUAGAAGUUUACUAUGAGAGAACUUGCUAUUAUUCUGAGACU